CCCCCUGUCUGCCUCUCUGCCUCAUGUGAACUGGUGUCUGCUUUGCUAAGUGACGUGGUUCCCGGCUGCUGGUGGGGGCUUGGCGCUCUCUGUGGUUCCCUGCACUGUUUGUAGUGGAAAGGGCACCGGGACAAAGUCUGGUCCUGCUGGAGGUUUCUGCCUGUUAAAGGAAGUUUGCCCUUGCCACUGUAACUUGCUAAAUACUGCAAGGUGCAAUGCUCAUGGUGGAUUAAGAUGAGAUCAGACUGGAUCUUGAGAUAACGUUUGUUGUGAUUUGGCGCUAUACAAAUAAAGCUUGAUUGACCAAGAUAAGUUUGGAAACAUCACCAUAUUUGAUAUUGGCAAAAAUCCAAGAUUAUGCAAGGAUGAAGUUGUUUUUGGCAACUUAAGUAGAGAAAAUGUAAAAUUUCUGUAACUGUUUUAAACUGAGUAGAGUUUGAAAAUGAUGGGUGUUCAUGAGAGCUCUGGGGUCCAGAGGGUAAAUGAGAGACACGUCUAUCAAACUUUGAGGCAGCCUUAAGCGUUCGACACAACUUGAACAUUAAGUGUUUUAUUGUUGCAUAAAAAAAUCCUUAAAUCCAGAAAGGUUGAAUCAAACGGGGAACUUUACGUCUCCCACUGCACACCCUUGGAGUUCUCUUUCUCCAGCAGAAGAUCUGAAACUCUAAAUCCUGUGCGCAUGCUGUGUGAACUUCCAUGAACCAGCAUUUUCUUAUGUUAUAUAAUUGCAUUACUGCCACACAUUUAAAGUCUGACACAACACCAAGCGCCGCACGCUGCUGUUUUUUCUAUCUUCUUGGUGACAUUUUGUGCCGCUAAUGUGCAAAGUUUCCCAAGUGCAGCAUUAACAUUGAGCUGCAGAUGUAGCAUCUGCUCCCCACACUCUGUUGCUGUGUGGGCGGGUGUUUGUCUUUCACUUCUUUGUAAAAAAGCUUGAAUGUGCUGCUUCAAAUUAACUGAUCAGCCGUCUCAUCCUUCACUGCGAUGGUUGCACUUCAAAGACUCUUGCUUCUGGCGGCUCAUCCUCAGACUGCAUUGCGUGCUAACAAAGAGAGCUGCUUCCCUCCUGGCCUUUUAGGACUUUUAGUCCACCUUCAAAACUGUGGAACAGCAGAUGUGUCUUCCUGCCCUUGCUGGCUUCUGAACAUCAGGGUCUUACAUUUUCCACCCUGAAAUCAGCGGCAGAGCCUGUGCCUUUUAUUCCACACCUCUCAGCUAAUUCCCCUGGGGUGCUUCCUGUACUUUCCUGCAUCUCCCUCUGCAUCAGUAGGUGUCUCCGCUCUGUCACAUACACCACAUUUUCUCUUGUCCCCACAGUCUACUUUUCCGUCAUCCUUCCCCCCCCCCUUCAGACACACAGGUCUGCCUCUCUGCUUGACUAGUUGACAGAUCAAGUUGGAUGUCUGCCUGCCGCUUUAAGCUUAUCACUGCUGACAACAACAUAGUGAAUCCUGCCCAGUCCACUAAGCAUCUCGGUGUGAUCCCUGGCAGCAAUUUGCCAUAUGAAGCUAUCACUGCAGCCACAAAAUCCUCACGCAUAUUUGUGCUCUUAAAACACGAGUAA